CCGAAUAGGAACAGCUCCGGUCUACAGCUCCCAGCGUGAGCGACGCAGAAGACGGGUGAUUUCUGCAUUUCCAUCUGAGAAGCACUGAGUGGUUCCCUGAUUCAGUGGAAGCCAGACAUCCUAUCUAAACCUCUAGAACACCAGGGUCCCGGCUGCUGAGAACUCCAGGCACACGAGGCUGCUUGGGAAAGACUGGAGAAGUGCCAGGAGGAUUAAUUACAGCAGUUAAUGUUUCCAUUUGAAAGGAGAUGAUACUCUGAUCGAAUUAUACUCUGCUCCUUGCCCCAUCUAAUAUUUAUUUGCACAUUAAAGAUAACACGACUGGCUAGAAUUGGCUUCUGAAUAUGUGUGCUCCUUAUCAAGGCCACAGUUUACAGCUUUGCUAGGGAGAGCUAUGGUAAUGAACUACUUGAUCUUUUUUUUUUUUUUUUUUUGAGACGGAGCCUCGCUCUGUCGUCCAGGCUGGAGUGCAGUGGCGCGAUCUCGGCUCACUGCAACCUCCACCUCCCAGGUUCAAGCAGUUCUCCUACCUCAGCCUCCUGCGUAGCUGGGACUACUACAGGCGUGCGCCACCAUGCCCAGCUAAUUUUUGUAUUUUUAGUACAGACAGGAUUUCACCAUGUUGGCCAGGACGGUCCCAAUCUCUUGACCUCGUGAUCGGCCCUCCUCGGCCUCCCAAAGUUCUGGGAUUACAGGCGUGAGCCACUGCGCCCAGCCGGACUAUUUUAUCUUAAAGAGAGACUUGGAAGAGAGGCUGCUGGAAUCCCUAAAGUCUACCUGGAUCUGAUGUAAUCAUGUCUGGCUGACUCAACAGCAGCGGCUUGGAAAUAAAAUGCAAUACGGAACACCUGGAGAGAUGCCUCCUUCUCUUUGUCUAUCUUUCAAGCAUCCCAGACUCAACUUUUAAGAUGUCUCAGAUCUCAGGACAAGAGAAACACUUGCGUAAUGAUAAUCAUAAAAACAGUAAUAGCAGCAAUGCUAAUAAUAAGAAAAUGUAGGAAGAUG
rnacentral:lncRNA from 1 species